ensembl:misc_RNA Metazoa_SRP Metazoan signal recognition particle RNA
GCCGGGCGUGGUGGCUCACGCCUGUAAUCCCAGCACUUUGGGAGGCUGAGGCAGGUGGAUUACCUGAGGUCAGGAGUUCAAGACCAGCCUGGUCAACAUGGUGAAAGCUUGUCUUUA